rnacentral:tRNA from 1 species
GGCCGCGUGGCGCAAUGGAUAGCGCACUGGACUUCGAAUCCAGGGGUUGCAGGUUCGAGCCCUGCCGUGGUCG